GAGACCUGUAUCCGCAAUUGCUAACGACCAUUUCAUGGAAUCGAGCACAUUGUUGAGACUGCCUGGGAAACCAGGAGGAAGGCGCAGGCUACGGUAGGUCUGUAUGCUCCGAAUCUUCUGGGCUACACGCGCGCAACAAUGGUAAUGACAAUGUGAUGCAACUCCGAAAGGAGAAGCUAAUCCUCGAAACAUUACCCUAGUUCAGAUUGAGGGUUGUAACUCACCCUCAUAACGAUGGAAUCCCUAGUAAUCAGAUGUUAUCAGCAUCUGGUGAAUAU
rnacentral:rRNA from 1 species